GCGGCGUGCCUAACACAUGCAAGUCGAGCGAAGCAUUUUAAAGGAAGUUUUCGGAUGGAAUUUGAAAUGACUGAGCGGCGGACGGGUGAGUAACGCGUGGGUAACCUGCCUCAUACGGGGGGAUAACAGUUAGAAAUGACUGCUAAUACCGCAUAAGCACACAGUACCGCAUGGUACGGUGUGAAAAACUCCGGUGGUAUGAGAUGGACCCGCGUCUGAUUAGCUAGUUGGCGGGGUAACGGCCCACCAAGGCGACGAUCAGUAGCCGACCUGAGAGGGUGACCGGCCACAUUGGGACUGAGACACGGCCCAAACUCCUACGGGAGGCAGCAGUGGGGAAUAUUGCACAAUGGGGGAAACCCUGAUGCAGCAACGCCGCGUGAGUGAAGAAGUAUUUCGGUAUGUAAAGCUCUAUCAGCAGGGAAGAAAGUGACGGUACCUGACUAAGAAGCCCCGGCUAACUACGUGCCAGCAGCCGCGGUAAUACGUAGGGGGCAAGCGUUAUCCGGAUUUACUGGGUGUAAAGGGAGCGUAGACGGCACAGCAAGUCUGAAGUGAAAUCCCCGGGCUCAACCCGGGAACUGCUUUGGAAACUGCUGGGCUGGAGUGCUGGAGAGGCAAGCGGAAUUCCUAGUGUAGCGGUGAAAUGCGUAGAUAUUAGGAGGAACACCAGUGGCGAAGGCGGCUUGCUGGACAGUAACUGACGUUGAGGCUCGAAAGCGUGGGGAGCAAACAGAAUUAGAUACCCUGGUAGUCCACGCCGUAAAC
rnacentral:rRNA from 1 species